UAAAGUUUGUAUCGAUACCAUAUAUUGU
rnacentral:sRNA from 1 species